rnacentral:rRNA from 1 species
GACGAACGCUGGCGGCGUGCUUAACACAUGCAAGUCGAACGGAAAGGCCCUGCUUUUGUGGGGUGCUCGAGUGGCGAACGGGUGAGUAACACGUGAGUAACCUGCCCUUGACUUUGGGAUAACUUCAGGAAACUGGGGCUAAUACCGGAUAGGAGCUCCUGCUGCAUGGUGGGGGUUGGAAAGUUUCGGCGGUUGGGGAUGGACUCGCGGCUUAUCAGCUUGUUGGUGGGGUAGUGGCUUACCAAGGCUUUGACGGGUAGCCGGCCUGAGAGGGUGACAGGCCACAUUGGGACUGAGGUACGGCCCAGACGCCUACGGGGGGCAGCAGUGGGGAAUAUUGCACAAUGGGCGGAAGCCUGAUGCAGCAACGCCGCGUGCGGGAUGACGGCCUUCGGGUUGUAAACCGCUUUCGCCUGUGACGAAGCGUGAGUGACGGUAAUGGGUAAAGAAGCACCGGCUAACUACGU